UAAAAAAUUUGGCGGUAUUUUAGUCUAUUCAGAGGAACCUGUUCUGUAAUCGAUAAUCCACGAUGGACCUUACUUAAAUUUGUUUAGUUUAUAUACCGUCGUUAUUAGAAUAUUUUAUAAGAAUGUUAAUUUUCAUAAUUUUAUAAUAAAAAUAUAUCAGAUCAAGGUGUAGCUUAUAUUUAAGUAGAAAUGGGUUACAAUAAAAUUAUUUAAAUGAAUAUAAAUUUGAAAUGUUUAUUGAAGGUGGAUUUGAUAGUAAAAUUAUAAAGAUUAUUAAUUUGAUUUUAGCUCUAAAAUAUGUACAUAUCGCCCGUCACUCUUAUUAUUAAGGUAAGAUAAGUCGUAACAUAGUAGAUGUACUGGAAAGUGUAUCUAGAAUGCAAUUUAAAGCUUAAAUAGUAAAGUAUUUCAUUUACAUUGAAAAGAUUUUUGUGCAAAUCAUUAUAAAUUGAUUAAUUUUUAUUUAUUAAUAAUUUUAUUUAUUUAUUUAUUAUUUUAAAAAUAAUUAUAAAAUUUUAUGUUUUAGUAUUGUAUAAAGAAAAAAUAAUUUUAAUUAUAGUUUAAUAGUAUUGUAAAAGAAAAUUGAAAUAAU
rnacentral:rRNA from 1 species